GUAACAUUGACAGCUAGCCUGCUAGCUAACAUUAGCUAACAAUUAGGCUAAUGUUAUAUGAGAAGCAUAAGCAGCUAAACACUGUACAGUUGCGAUGCCAAGAAAUGAGCGCACAAAGCGGAAAAUGCAAAGGGAACAAGACAAAAUUAUCAUACUUAACAAACAGAAGUGUGUUCAAAUGCUGAAGACUUUCCUACCAGCAGUCAAUAUAAUCUUCAGGGCUCCCAAAUUGAAAAUAUCAAAUGUUACAAAUCUAGCUAAAUAACAGACUCACUUUUAAGGCCCAUGUUUCCUUUUGCUAUAUUCAAGACUGGUGUACUUAAAGCAUCUUGAGUCUGUUUAUCACAGUGCACUUCAUUUUAUCACAGGUGAUAAUUUCCUUAUUCACCAUUGUAUCUUAUAAGAAAAGGUGUGACUGUCCCUUCAAACAAUCAACAGGGCGUUGCUCUUUACAUUUUUAUGCAUAAAACUCUUUUUUUAUAUACUUUAUUUUAUUGUCAUCAUGGCAUUUCAUACAUUUUACUUAUGUUAUAUAGCCCAUGUAAUGAUGACAAUACAUUUUUUUAAUGAUAUACGUAAAUAAUGUGUGUGGGUGUGUCACCCAGUGAUACAUCGUACAAUAAAUUAUACAAUAACUUAAAAUAAAUAAAUAAUUUAUUUAUGCAUAAAACUCUAUUGGAAAACUAUCUCAUUACAUUUGCUCUCUGAUCACAGACAAAUACAGUAUUUAUAAUUACAGGACAUUUUAACUUUAGCUGUGCUACAUGUUCAACCUGCGCUUGGCAAAACAAGUUUUAAAUACUAUGUUCCUUACAAAUGUAGUACGUUAAAGAGCACUUUCUGUACAUGUUUUUCUGGUACACAGGUCUCUCUUAAAAGAAAAAAAGAUAUUGAUCUCAAUGGCACUACCUGUUCAAAUAAAGGAUUUACCAACUAACUCAUAUUCAUGACAGCAUUUCAUUUUUUGCUUAUUAAAAGUUUUAAAAAAAAAUUAACCUAAAGAUGCUUAACUACAACUUACUCCCAUGCAGCAAUACAAAAACAUCUAGUUAAAACAUACAUGUCAUUUAUACAUAAUGUACAGCACAUAGAAAGGGAAGAGGUCAAGAAAAAGGAAUUCAUUCAAAACAUAUUAAAUAAGUUUUCUUUUGUUGGUUUGUCAGAUAAACUAUAAUUACACUGUCAGGGCUUAACAUCUAUAUGGCUACUAUGAAUGAGGAAAGCUGAAAAACUGAAAGUAAAGUACAUAAUGUAAAUGCCAUCAGAAGGAAGACAAGGAAUUUCCUAAAAUAUACUGUAAUUAUUUAUAGGUAACUAAACUCAACACCAGAAAGUGGUAAUGUAAGUACCAUUAAAGCUAAAUUGCCAAAAUGUGACACCCAAACCAGACUAUUAUAUUUUAUUUAUCAUACUUUACUUUAUCUCGCUCAUUGCUGACCAUUUUUUUUCUCUCUUCCCUCCAGGCAUUGUGUAUACCACACAUGACAUGUAAAUUAGCAUACUAUUGAUUGUCAGUCAGGAACAUCAAGAGAGAACAUUCUGUGUAAAUUACACAUUAUUAAUUAAAUACAAUUAAACUCGAUCAUAUAAAACUAAUACAUUCAAAUGUGUUGACAUUCAAGUUCACACACAAACAGGGAAAUCGAAUUAAAGUGUUAUUGAAGAAACCGAACAAUAUAUUUUUCCAGUAGAGUGAAAAGUCAGAGUCAAUAAUAUCAAUGAUAUACUGGGUUACAUCCUUCCAGAAAUUGAUAGUGUAAGGACACUGCCAGAAUAGGUGUUGCAUUGUUUCUGGAUGCAUUUCACAAAAUGAACAGUUAACACAGGUAUAUUUUCUGAACUUAAGAAGAUAAUGAUUAACAGAAUAAUAUCUAUAUAUGAUUUUGAAAGAAACUUCCCUCAUCUUAUUAGUAAGAAGAUAUUUACAUGGAAGAUUCCAGACAUUUUUCCAAUUCAGGUUAUCGACAAAUCUAGACCAGUAGGAUACAACAUCAUGAACUGCCUUUUCAUCCGGACCAUGGAUAUAUUAUAAGAGCUGGAUACCGGACUAAAAAUAGCGCCCAUUCAGUCCUGUAGGAAAUGUUCGUCUGGCGCACAUGCCAAAAAAGUUUCUAGCUUCUGGGUUUGCUUCCGCGUUGUGCGGCCCACUGAAUACGCGCAGUAGUAUUUCCCCCGCUGGUCCCGCCUGCGAGUUCCCGCUCGGCCCAUAGACUUUACAUUGUGAUGACGUCACGGAUUUUUAAAUCGCUU